UACGAAGGGGGCUAGCGUUGCUUCGGAAUCACUGGGCGUAAAGCGCACGUAGGCGGAUUGCUAAGUCAGGGGUGAAAUCCUGGAGCUCAACUCCAGAACUGCCUUUGAUACUGGCGAUCUUGAGUCCGGGAGAGGUGAGUGGAACUGCGAGUGUAGAGGUGAAAUUCGUAGAUAUUCGCAAGAACACCAGUGGCGAAGGCGGCUCACUGGCCCGGUACUGACGCUGAGGUGCGAAAGCGUGGGGGAGCAAACAGG
rnacentral:rRNA from 1 species